UAAUUGAAGAGUUUGAUCAUGGCUCAGAUUGAACGCUGGCGGCAGGCCUAACACAUGCAAGUCGAACGGUAACAGGGAGCAGCUUGCUGCUCUGCUGACGAGUGGCGGACGGGUGAGUAAUGUCUGGGAAACUGCCUGAUGGAGGGGGAUAACUACUGGAAACGGUAGCUAAUACCGCAUAACGUCUACGGACCAAAGUGGGGGACCUUCGGGCCUCAUGCCAUCAGAUGUGCCCAGAUGGGAUUAGCUAGUAGGUGGGGUAACGGCUCACCUAGGCGACGAUCCCUAGCUGGUCUGAGAGGAUGACCAG
rnacentral:rRNA from 1 species